AGUGAACGCUGGCGGUAGGCCUAACACAUGCAAGUCGAACGGCAGCACAGUAAGAGCUUGCUCUUACGGGUGGCGAGUGGCGGACGGGUGAGGAAUACAUCGGAAUCUACUUUUUCGUGGGGGAUAACGUAGGGAAACUUACGCUAAUACCGCAUACGACCUACGUGUGAAAGCAGGGGAUCUUCUGACCUUGCGCGAUUGAAUGAGCCGAUGUCGGAUUAGCUAGUUGGCGGGGUAAAGGCCCACCAAGGCGACGAUCCGUAGCUGGUCUGAGAGAAUGAUCAGCCACACUGGAACUGAGACACGAUCCAGACUCCUACGGGAGGAAGCAGUGGGGAAUAUUGGACAAUGGGCGCAAGCCUGAUCCAGCCAUACCGCGUGGGUGAAGAAGGCCUUCGGGUUGUAAAGCCGUUUUGUUGGGAAAGAAAAGCAGCAGGUUAAUACCCCGCUGUUCUGACGGUACCCAAAGAAUAAGCACCGGCUAACUUCGUG
rnacentral:rRNA from 1 species